rnacentral:rRNA from 1 species
CCUACGGGAGGCAGCAGUGAGGAAUAUUGGUCAAUGGCCGAGAGGCUGAACCAGCCAAGUCGCGUGAGGGAAGACGGCCCUACGGGUUGUAAACCUCUUUUGUCGGGGAGCAAAGCGAGUCACGUGUGACUCAUUGAGAGUACCCGAAGAAAAAGCAUCGGCUAACUCCGUGCCAGCAGCCGCGGUAAUACGGAGGAUGCGAGCGUUAUCCGGAUUUCUUGGGUUUAAAGAGUGCGAAGGCGGAGGUGCAAGUCAGCGGUCAAAUUGCGGGGCUCAACCACGUACUUGCGUUGAAACUGCAUGCAUUGAGUGCGCGAGAAGUAGGCGGAAUGCGUGGUGUAGCGGUGAAAUGCAUAGAUAUCACGCAGAACUCCGAUUGCGAAGGCAGCAUACCGGCGCGCAACUGACGCUCAUGCACGAAAGCGUGGGUAUCGAACAGGAUUAGAUACCCUUGUAGUC